rnacentral:rRNA from 1 species
CAGCAGCCGCGGGAAUACGAAGGGUGCAAGCGUUACUCGGAAUUACUGGGCGUAAAGCGUGCGUAGGUGGUGGUUUAAGUCCGUUGUGAAAGCCCUGGGCUCAACCUAGGAAUUGCAGUGGAUACUGGGUCACUAGAGUGUGGUAGAGGAUAGUGGAAUUUCCGGUGUAGCAGUGAAAUGCGUAGAGAUCGGAAGGAACAUCUGUGGCGAAGGCGACUAUCUGGGCCAACACUGACACUGAGGCACGAAAGCGUGGGGAGCAAACAGGAUUAGAUACCCCGGUAGUCCCUGUCUCUUAUAC